ACGAACGAGCCGACGGUCCGCUGCGUCUCGUCACUCCCCCGCCCUUCCGCUCUCUGCCUAUCCUUUGGAGCAUGCGCGGGAGGGAGGUCCGACGCUAAAGUGCGUCGAGCGUCCAGUGCUCACGCCUACAGCGAAAAUCUGCCUGCGGAAGCGGAACUUGAUCCGUCCCGGAAGGCUUAUUGAACGGAUUCUGACCGCGUGCCGGGCGCCUUGGUGGCUGUAGAGGCUUGGAAGAGCCGUGCUUUUCCCCCAAGCGGCGACUUUCCUAGCUAUCGCUUUCAAUAAGCCUCGUGCUUGUGUUUUUUCAUUAGUGCAUGUACAGGUUUACAAAGGUUAUCUUUGUGACGAUUUGCAACAGUUUUUGUCUGCUCAUUUAACCCGUUUGGAUAGAUGAGGCAAGUUGAGUUCGACCUGCCAAGCUCACCAUUCUAGGCUGUGGGGAAACCAAGAAUCAAGGCGCCAGCUCAAGAGCCGGUUUUCCAUCUCCAGGAAUUCCUUUAAAACUUAAGAUGAUCCCCUCAGCCCUUUCUUAAAGGCCACCAGUAACUGCGUUCACACUUUUUCAAGUGAAUAGUCUCAUCAAAGACCCAAAUGGUGUCUUUUCUUUCUUGGGGACCUUAGUCACUUGCACAGUGCCUAUAAAUAUCAGGCACCCAGUAAAUAUUUGCUGAAUGAGUCAGCUGUCUGUAGUCAAAAAUUAUUAUCUGUAGGGUCCAAACAGCCUCCUGGAAAAUCCAGAAUGUGGCAUCUUCCAUCGCAUGUUUUUAUACUAUGCAAGUAAUCUCUGCACCCAACGUGCUGCUAGAACAUAUAACGCCAAGAUCAAGAGACCCGUGCUCCACCAACUGAGCCAGCCAGGCACUCCAGACAAGUCACCAUGUUGGCAGGGGUGAUUUAUCCCAAUCAUCGAGAGGAAGUUGGAAUUCUGUUACACAAUGGAAGAUGGAAGGACGAUGUUCGGCACCCAGUCAUUUUGAGGAUCAACGCAGUGUCAACACAAGGUUCCUGUUUUCUGCAAAGAACUAAAAAGGCAACUUCCUAAGAAUUAAGGCUGAUAUACAAACAUAGAUUUAGAGUUGACAGGUCCCCGAGGAAGAUAUCUUAUUCCAGGUUCUCUAAAGCACCGAUCUCAAUGCUAUUGACAGGCAUGAACUAGCUCACUUCAAGCAUAUGAAGGGAAAACCAGAGCCUGACUUAAACUGUGCUGUACUGCAGGUGGUCAAAGGCAAAGAGACGCAGGAAGCAGGAAGGAAGGCAGAGGAACUGGAGGCCAGCCAGGAACAAGCUGGGAAUAGCCAGACUGCACUGCUCCUUAGUUACCAUGGGCUUUGUCCAGCCAGAUGUCCUAGCAUCUCCUUGGUUUUCUGCCUGAGGAAUCUGACUAUUCAUUCUGAAGUUAUCUUAAAUGCUGUCCACAUUCACAAAUACUCCUCAGAGGCCAAAUUCAUUUUUAAAUGUUCAUCCUAGCAAGAGAUUUUUUUUUACAUAGAUGGGGAUACAGCCUGGACCUAAAUAGAUUUAGGUUCAAGUCUCAUUGUAAUUUACUGCCUAAGUGAACUUAAGCAAUUGACUAGGAUUCUCUAAUCUUCAGCUUCCUCAUCUGCCCCAAAAUCGAGAUAAUUUACUCAAUAAAUAUUCACGUUUGAGUCCCUAUUAUGUGACACGCUCAGAUUUGGAUGUUGAGAACACAGGAGAAAACCACACAGGGUAGCUUCAUUCAAGUGAAGACGGGAGAGAAAUAAAUAGACAAGACAGUAUUGGAUGUUGAUAAAUGCUCGGAAGACAAUCCACCAAGUUGAUGUGCAAGAAGUGAUGGAGUUGCAGCGUCUUUGGAGGAGGAAGAAUUUGACAUUGGAGCCGAGACUGAGGACAAAAAGACAAGAAGAAACUCGCCUCAUGAAGAUUCGGGUGUGGAGCAUUCCAAUGAGAGGGAAAGAGAAUUUCAAAGGCCCUGAGGCGGAAGAAAGCGCUUGGUGUGUCCUUGGAAUAUAAAGAAGAUAUACAAUGGAGUGAGGUGGAGAGGGGCUGGGGAGAGGUGGGAGAGGUAGGCAGGACUGAGGAAGUGGAGGAGGAUGUAAGAGCUUUGAGAAGAGCCGGGGAAUGUGUGAAUACUUGUUGGGGAGAAUGGGGGAGAGAACAUGCUGGAGAAGUGUAGUAGGGUUGCUUGGCAGCAUUGAGACUCCUUUUGAGAUGCGUGGUCAUGAAUUUCAACUAGAACUGGUUGGCAUAGUGGAUGUUGCGCUGAGAAUUAGAUGAAGUGAAUGGAAGUUUUUGACACAUGGUAGAUGCUCAGAAAUGUUCACUAGCUAUUGUAAGGGAGAAAAAUCUUAAGAUGAAGAAAACUAAACCAACUCAUCUAUUUUUGCCACCAUCUGUAAUUUAUCAGAGAGGUAAACGAUACACUAUGUAUUCUGAGCUUUGGUUUAAGACUGUUUUCCACCCAAAGGGAGUUUUUUAGCAUCUGGAUGUUUUAAACCUGAACGUUUUUGCACACCCAGUGCAAAAUGCCGCGAUUUUUUGCUCUUGUGGUCUUAAUAAACUGGAAGUAAAUUUCUCCUGUCA